CAAAUACUCCAUGUAGUCUUUAGCUUUGAUUGCCAAGAAUGAGUAGGAGAGACUGCAGUGCUAUAAAUCCUGAAGCAGAAUGUGCUACUCAGGCCUCGGACAAAUUCUGAAGAAAGUGAAGAGCCUUGCAAACAACUCUGAGUUGCUGCAAGAUGAGGCUGACCUGCACAGCACCUGGCACGGUGAGAGGGCUGCAUGUCAGGGCCUCCCAAGUAAUUCUGAAGUAGCUAAAUGAUUGAUCUUGUCCAAUUAUUUGUGGUUUGUGACUUCGCAGCAGGGCUACAGAAUCUCUGUGAGGAGAGGGCGGGGCGGCCUGUGAGGACACAUCUGGCUCUGGAAGGUUCCAGCUGGUUCCAGAAGGUCCUGCCGCAGAGAAGCCAGCAGUGCCUGCUGAUUUAAAUACAAGAAGAAGUGAAGCCUGCCUGGGGCAAGGGCGUGAUGUGGAGGAGAUCUGCAAAUAGUGAGCUAAGACGCCAGUGCAUAUUGCAAGUACCUGGAUAUACAGCCUCAUCAAGUACAAGUAAGGUACAAGAAGGUAUCCUCACAACAAGGGCCAUGCUGUGUUUGUACUGGCCGAGCUGGAGAGACCAAAGCAAUCCCCUUCUGAUUGUGAACUAAGGAAACCAAACCAGGCCCAAUUCUCACUCUCAGGAAUAAGGAUUUUUCAAGGUUACACCACCUAGGAAGUUUCUUUUGGGGAUCCAUAAUCAGUGUAUGCUGAUUUCUUCUCUAAUGCUAGAAAUAUCUGAAUGGACAAGAUCUGAAAUUAGAAGUGAGCUAAAGAAGAAUGGAACUUUCAGAAGUUUUCAAGAAGUUACUUUUAAAGAGCAAUGUAUGACAGCUCCCUGCAGUGUCCUAAUGAGGAUACAGACUGAAAGAAUAAAGUAGUCUCAGGUCUUAUAGAAUCAGCCAAUCCACAAAAACUCAUUUGUAGUUUUCUCUGCAAAAGAAAAAAAUGAGCAGAGAGUAUACAUGUAAAUAUAGAGCAGAAGGAUAUGUCUUAAUUCCAACACAUGAACACAUUUGUUACAGAAUGGCAGAAAUAUAACUUUCAUGAUGGGAUAAGAUUGCUCACCUAAAUAGGAGGUGUCUUGCACAAAUGAUAAAAUUUAAUUUAAUUUAUACAAGAUUUUUUAGUAUUCUACUGCAUGAUCUUCCUACCUUUUGUAAUGUAGAAACGAUCUCUGCUCAUCGUUACAUUCAUUGCAAUAUGAAGUAUUUAAAAACUUCACCAUGUGCUACCUCAUGGUGACAGCUUGGUAUGAAUUUCAAAAUGUAGGUCCCCUAGGUAAGUCUAGAAUAAAUUCUAUUGUGCAUACAAAUGAAUGUAUAGAAGAAGCUGCCAAUAAAACCUAAAUCUUUUCAGAAACCAAGCAACCUCACUUUUAUUCCAUUGACAGCCUCCAACUGCAAUGCUUGCAUCUGCACCCUUCACUUCACAGCGAUUAAUAUCUCGUCACAGAGAUAGGAGUUUGAGGGAGACUUGGAUCUGAAGAUUUUGUCAGGACAGUUUUGAGUUUUAACAUCCCUUCCACCCGAGUUAUCUGUGGAAAGGUCUCCAGCCUUUAGA